AACGCACCUUGCGCUCCUUGGCAUUCCGAGGAGCAUGCCUGUUUGAGUGUCAUUAAAUUCUCAAUCCAUAUGAUUUAUUUCACAUGGACUUGGAAUGUGGGAGCGUGCAGGCCCCUUGAAGGGAUCUGCUCUCCUUAAAUGCAUUAGUCGGACUUUUUGCAGCAGUCUGUGGUGUGAUAAUUAUCUACACCCAGGAUGGUGCAGUCUUGCCGUCCAGCUUCCAAUGGUCCAUUCAAUUGGACAGCUCAUUGACAAUUUGACCUCAAAUCAGGUAGGACUACCCGCUGAACUUAA
rnacentral:misc_RNA from 1 species